rnacentral:rRNA from 1 species
UUGAACGCUGGCGGCAGGCCUAACACAUGCAAGUCGAGCGGAUGAAGGGAGCUUGCUCCUGGAUUCAGCAGCGGACGGGUGAGUAAUGCCUAGGAAUCUGCCUGGUAGUGGGGGAUAACGUCCGGAAACGGGCGCUAAUACCGCAUACGUCCUGAGGGAGAAAGUGGGGGAUCUUCGGACCUCACGCUAUCAGAUGAGCCUAGGUCGGAUUAGCUAGUUGGUGGGGUAAAGGCCUACCAAGGCGACGAUCCGUAACUGGUCUGAGAGGAUGAUCAGUCACACUGGAACUGAGACACGGUCCAGACUCCUACGGGAGGCAGCAGUGGGGAAUAUUGGACAAAGGGCGAAAGCCUGAUCCAGCCAUGCCGCGUGUGUGAAGAAGGUCUUCGGAUUGUAAAGCACUUUAAGUUGGGAGGAAGGGCAGUAAGUUAAUACCUUGCUGUUUUGACGUUACCAACAGAAUAAGCACCGGCUAACUUCGUG